rnacentral:rRNA from 1 species
GAAAUGACUCUCGGCAACGGAUAUCUCGGCUCUCGCAUCGAUGAAGAACGUAGCAAAAUGCGAUACCUGGUGUGAAUUGCAGAAUCCCGUGAACCAUUGAGUUUUUGAACGCAAGUUGCGCCCGAGGUCUUCUGGCCGAGGGCACGCCUGCCUGGGCGUCACGCC